GUGAUCUUCCCCAAGAAUCCACAUCGACAGGAAGGUUUAGCACCUGGAUGUCGGCUCUUCGCCACCUAGAGUUGUAGGUGGUUCCAAGGGGUGGAUUAUUUGCCCACUAAUGCGGUACGUGAGCUAUGUUCAGAACGUCAUGGGACAGUUC
rnacentral:ncRNA from 1 species